AGUGAACGCUGGCGGCAGGCUUAACACAUGCCAGUCGAACGGCAGCACAGUAAGAGCUUGCUCUUACGGGUGGCGAGUGGCGGACGGGUGAGGAAUACAUCGGAAUCUACUUUUUCGUGGGGGAUAACGUAGGGAAACUUACGCUAAUACCGCAUACGACCUACGGGUGAAAGCAGGGGAUCUUCGGACCUUGCGCGAUUGAAUGAGCCGAUGUCGGAUUAGCUAGUUGGCGGGGUAAAGGCCCACCAAGGCGACGAUCCGUAGCUGGUCUGAGAGGAUGAUCGGCCACACUGGAAGUGAGACACGGUCCAGACUCCUACGGGAGGCAGCAGUGGGGAAUAUUGGGCAAUGGGCGCAAGCCUGAUCCAGCCAUACCGCGUGGGUGGAGAAGGCCUUCGGGUUGUGAAGCCCUUUUGUUGGGAAAGAAAAGCAGCAGGUUAAUACCCCGCUGUUCUGACGGUACCCGAAGAAUAAGCACCGGCUAACUUCGUG
rnacentral:rRNA from 1 species